AAUAAAGUGGUGAUCCUAACUGACCUAAGACAGAGAUUUCUUUACAAGGAUUCAAUUGUGAAAACUGAGUUUAAAUGUAUUUGGCUAAGAUGUAUGUAAACUUCCGACUUCAACUGUAGAUAGAAGACUGUAGUGCCCAAAAGCCCAUUUCAGUAUGUGCAGUGUCAUUGAGGACUUCCUAUGGGUGGCAGGUUGCCUAGCUGUUAAGAGCAUUGGGCCAGUAACCGAAAGGUCGCUGGUUCAACUCCCCAAACCGAGUAGGUGAAAAAUUUGUCUGUGACUUUGAGCAAGGCACUUAACACUAAUUGCUCUUGUAACUCACUCUGGAUAAGAGCAUCUGCUCAAUGACUCAAAUGUAAAAAGGUAUGGGUUAAGGAAGGAUCACAUAAUUCCAUCAGGAUUAUACUCGUAAAUGAGACAUUCCAGAACUGCAGGUGGCAGUAUAUCGCAAACCUUUGGUUUAUAUCUGUUCAAACAUCUAGGUGGCAGUAUAUCACAAACCUUUGGUUUAUAUCUGUUGAAACAUCUAGGUGACAGUAUAUCACAAACCUUUGGUUUAUAUCUGUUCAAACAUCUAGGUGGCAGUAUAUCACAAACCUUUGGUUUAUAUCUGUUGAAACAUCUAGGUGGCAGUAUAUCACAAACCUUUGGUUUAUAUCUUUUCAAACAUCUAGGUGGCAGUGUGCUAACCUUUGGUUUAUAUCUGUUCAAACAUCUAGGUGGCAGUAUAUCGCAAACCUUUGGUUUAUAUCUGUUCAAACAUCUAGGUGACAGUAUAUCACAAACCUUUGGUUUAUAUCUGUUCAAACAUCUAGGUGGCAGUAUAUCACAAACCUUUGGUUUAUAUCUUUUCAAACAUCUAGGUGACAGUAUAUCACAAACCUUUGGUUUAUAUCUGUUCAAACAUCUAGGUGGCAGUGUGCUAACCUGGGUACCAGUCUUUUUAGCUAACAUUCCAUUGCUUGACACUUCUGUCAUUUCUUCAAUCUUCAAAUAUGAACAUUAUAUCAUUCAUGAGCUCGAGGACAUCAGAGGAUUUGAUCCUGAUUCAAUAACCCUCAUAGUUAUCCUCCAAUCAAACGUUAUGCAAAUUUUGGAACUUUUUUCUACACAGAUCUUGGUGUCCUGUUGCUAAGCUAUGUUUUUUUUUUGCUAGGUGUUAGCUCAAGUUGCUAACUUGAGUCUUAAAGGAUCUACAUGUACAAUUUUUGCAUUGUAAUUUCAUAAAAUGUCUCAUAUACCUGCAGUAAUAGUGGAAUGAUGGUGUUUCACAAUAUUUUCACUUUUUUAAAUAUUUUGGCCCAAAACAAAAUCACAUUCUAAAAUGCAGACUUUUUCCUAUUUGGCAACAAAAGCCAGACCGGCUUCUGUUGUUAAGAUGGGAAAACUGCAUCCCCAUCUCUUCCAUCCUUCGACCCUAAGAGACAUGUUCAUCGCCUCCUCGAGCACAACGAACAAUGGCAGACUGGGGAAAGCGGCCUAUGUAGAAAUCACUCUGUCAUUUCCUGGCUGCUAAAACUCAACACUCUUCGUUCAAUUUCAGUUUGUGAGAAAACAAUAACUGAAUAGUGUAGGGAAUCGUUGUACCAUUAAAUUGCAUUGAAAUAUACUUUCAAUAACAAAUAUUGUUUUUUACCGCUAUUUGAAGUUGGUGGACAAAACUUAAGGUAAAAUAGUGUCCAUCAUGGUCCAUGCUAUCCGCGAUUCUUGGGACGUACCAACUCUGAAAUGUAAAAAGUUUAGGGUAGGUGUUUAGGGUAGGCAUGUCCCAAGGAAUCGGUUUCGCACUAACAUCUCCACCAUGUUACAGGGAAAUGGGAUGCAGGGGAGUUCUUUGUAAUACAACCUACUGUAGUUAAUAGUGUAAUCUGUGGAAUACAUUGAAUUAUAUGAGACGAUGUCUUGAGUUAAUGGAGCAGGUGUGGAUAUACUCCAAGCUCUCUUCCUAGUCUGCCACCGAAAUGUCAGCUUCAUCCCAUUUUGCCUUAAUGGCAUCUGUAGAAGGUGUGCUAACAGAUUGAAAAGAGUCAUAUCGACGAGAUAUCUCUGUCUGGUGGUGGGGUGGGGCAUAUUUUUAUGCAUCUGUCAAACAUUUAGCAUUCCCAAAUGUCGGAAGAUGUUUUCUAACAUAGUCUCUAAUCUGUAGGUAUCUGAAAAAGUUACGUCUGGGAAGAUUAUACAUUUCACUCAGCAACUCAAAGGAGGCAAAGGUCCCUUCUAUUUAUAGAUCCCCUAUGGCAUUUAUCCCUAGCUCUCCCCAUCACUCAAAUGUGUUAUCAAGGUUAGAGGUGGAAAAGGAGGGAUUCUUGGCAACAGGGAGCAUGAAUGAAAUUGGUCAAAAUGGACUUUAAUUUGCUUCCAGAUUCGGGCUGUGCUGUGUGUAAUAGGAUUGUUACUAAAUUCAGCAAAAAAAGAAACA